UACGAGGGGGGCAAGCGUUGUUCGGAAUCAUUGGGCGUAAAGCGCACGUAGGCGGUUCGUUAUGUCGGAUGUGAAAGCCCUUGGCUUAACCGAGGAAGUGCAUCCGAAACUGGCGAGCUAGAGUACGAAAGAGGAUCGCGGAAUUCCCGGUGUAGAGGUGAAAUUCGUAGAUAUCGGGAGGAACACCGGUGGCGAAGGCGGCGAUCUGGGUCGAUACUGACGCUGAGGUGCGAAAGCGUGGGGAGCAAACAGG
rnacentral:rRNA from 1 species